GCUCAAAGCCUGGCACUUGACCAACCCUAAUCUGACUAAAAGUUCAUAUACUUCCCUACUUGUCCUUUCAUAAUUGGACUGGCUACAACCUAAACAUUUUACAACGCCUUGAGCCUGGCUUAGUUAGGAUCAGUGGAUGUGUACAAAAUUGUUUGUCCCACCCUGUAUAGAGCCUGGAAAUAGCAUCCUAGGCUACGUUGGCCUUUCCACUGACCUGGGGCAAGAGAUUUUUACCAGCUAAUGCUUCCCAAAUUUUCCAUCUACUACAUCUCUUUCACCAUUUUUCUUUGAUCUGUCCGUGUCAUACUACUAAUCAGAUGAUCUACUGGGAUCCUUAUGGUAUUCAUUCUCAUCU
rnacentral:lncRNA from 1 species